AGAGCGAACGCUGGCGGCAGGCUUAACACAUGCAAGUCGAGCGGAUGUAGCAAUACAUCAGCGGCAGACGGGAUAGUAACACGUGGGAACGCGCCCUUUGGUUCGGAAUAACUCAGGGAAACUUGAGCUAAUACCGGAUAAGCCCUUACGGGGAAAGAUUUAUCGCCAUUGGAACGGCCCGCGUCCGAUUAGCUAGUUGGUGAGGUAAUGGCUCACCAAGGCGACGAUCGGUAGCUGGUCUGAGAGGAUGACCAGCAUCACUGGGACUGAGACACGGCCCAGACUCCUACGGGAGGCAGCAGUGGGGAAUAUUGGACAAUGGGCGCAAGCCUGAUCCAGCCAUGCCGCGUGGAUGAUGAAGGCCCUAGGGUUGUAAAGUCCUUUUAACGGGAAGAUAAUGACGGUACCCGUAGAAUAAGCCCGGCUAACUCGUGCCAGCAGCCGC
rnacentral:rRNA from 1 species